rnacentral:rRNA from 1 species
GGGUUGUGAGGUUAAGCGACUAAGCGUACACGGUGGAUGCCCUGGCAGUCAGAGGCGAUGAAGGACGUGCUAAUCUGCGAUAAGCGUCGGUAAGGUGAUAUGAACCGUUAUAACCGGCGAUUUCCGAAUGGGGAAACCCAGUGUGAUUCGUCACACUAUCAUUAACUGAAUCCAUAGGUUAAUGAGGCGAACCGGGGGAACUGAAACAUCUAAGUACCCCGAGGAAAAGAAAUCAACCGAGAUUCCCCCAGUAGCGGCGAGCGAACGGGGAGCAGCCCAGAGCCUGAAUCAGUGUGUGUGUUAGUGGAAGCGUCUGGAAAGGCGCGCGAUACAGGGUGACAGCCCCGUACACAAAAAUGCACAUGCUGUGAGCUCGAUGAGUAGGGCGGGACACGUGGUAUCCUGUCUGAAUAUGGGGGGACCAUCCUCCAAGGCUAAAUACUCCUGACUGACCGAUAGUGAACCAGUACCGUGAGGGAAAGGCGAAAAGAACCCCGGCGAGGGGAGUGAAAAAGAACCUGAAACCGUGUACGUACAAGCAGUGGGAGCACGCUUAGGCGUGUGACUGCGUACCUUUUGUAUAAUGGGUCAGCGACUUAUAUUCUGUAGCAAGGUUAACCGAAUAGGGGAGCCGAAGGGAAACCGAGUCUUAACUGGGCGUUAAGUUGCAGGGUAUAGACCCGAAACCCGGUGAUCUAGCCAUGGGCAGGUUGAAGGUUGGGUAACACUAACUGGAGGACCGAACCGACUAAUGUUGAAAAAUUAGCGGAUGACUUGUGGCUGGGGGUGAAAGGCCAAUCAAACCGGGAGAUAGCUGGUUCUCCCCGAAAGCUAUUUAGGUAGCGCCUCGUGAAUUCAUCUCCGGGGGUAGAGCACUGUUUCGGCAAGGGGGUCAUCCCGACUUACCAACCCGAUGCAAACUGCGAAUACCGGAGAAUGUUAUCACGGGAGACACACGGCGGGUGCUAACGUCCGUCGUGAAGAGGGAAACAACCCAGACCGCCAGCUAAGGUCCCAAAGUCAUGGUUAAGUGGGAAACGAUGUGGGAAGGCCCAGACAGCCAGGAUGUUGGCUUAGAAGCAGCCAUCAUUUAAAGAAAGCGUAAUAGCUCACUGGUCGAGUCGGCCUGCGCGGAAGAUGUAACGGGGCUAAACCAUGCACCGAAGCUGCGGCAGCGACGCUUAUGCGUUGUUGGGUAGGGGAGCGUUCUGUAAGCCUGUGAAGGUGUACUGUGAGGUAUGCUGGAGGUAUCAGAAGUGCGAAUGCUGACAUAAGUAACGAUAAAGCGGGUGAAAAGCCCGCUCGCCGGAAGACCAAGGGUUCCUGUCCAACGUUAAUCGGGGCAGGGUGAGUCGACCCCUAAGGCGAGGCCGAAAGGCGUAGUCGAUGGGAAACAGGUUAAUAUUCCUGUACUUGGUGUUACUGCGAAGGGGGGACGGAGAAGGCUAUGUUGGCCGGGCGACGGUUGUCCCGGUUUAAGCGUGUAGGCUGGUUUUCCAGGCAAAUCCGGAAAAUCAAGGCUGAGGCGUGAUGACGAGGCACUACGGUGCUGAAGCAACAAAUGCCCUGCUUCCAGGAAAAGCCUCUAAGCAUCAGGUAACAUCAAAUCGUACCCCAAACCGACACAGGUGGUCAGGUAGAGAAUACCAAGGCGCUUGAGAGAACUCGGGUGAAGGAACUAGGCAAAAUGGUGCCGUAACUUCGGGAGAAGGCACGCUGAUAUGUAGGUGAAGUCCCUCGCGGAUGGAGCUGAAAUCAGUCGAAGAUACCAGCUGGCUGCAACUGUUUAUUAAAAACACAGCACUGUGCAAACACGAAAGUGGACGUAUACGGUGUGACGCCUGCCCGGUGCCGGAAGGUUAAUUGAUGGGGUUAGCGCAAGCGAAGCUCUUGAUCGAAGCCCCGGUAAACGGCGGCCGUAACUAUAACGGUCCUAAGGUAGCGAAAUUCCUUGUCGGGUAAGUUCCGACCUGCACGAAUGGCGUAAUGAUGGCCAGGCUGUCUCCACCCGAGACUCAGUGAAAUUGAACUCGCUGUGAAGAUGCAGUGUACCCGCGGCAAGACGGAAAGACCCCGUGAACCUUUACUAUAGCUUGACACUGAACAUUGAGCCUUGAUGUGUAGGAUAGGUGGGAGGCUUUGAAGUGUGGACGCCAGUCUGCAUGGAGCCGACCUUGAAAUACCACCCUUUAAUGUUUGAUGUUCUAACGUUGACCCGUAAUCCGGGUUGCGGACAGUGUCUGGUGGGUAGUUUGACUGGGGCGGUCUCCUCCUAAAGAGUAACGGAGGAGCACGAAGGUUGGCUAAUCCUGGUCGGACAUCAGGAGGUUAGUGCAAUGGCAUAAGCCAGCUUGACUGCGAGCGUGACGGCGCGAGCAGGUGCGAAAGCAGGUCAUAGUGAUCCGGUGGUUCUGAAUGGAAGGGCCAUCGCUCAACGGAUAAAAGGUACUCCGGGGAUAACAGGCUGAUACCGCCCAAGAGUUCAUAUCGACGGCGGUGUUUGGCACCUCGAUGUCGGCUCAUCACAUCCUGGGGCUGAAGUAGGUCCCAAGGGUAUGGCUGUUCGCCAUUUAAAGUGGUACGCGAGCUGGGUUUAGAACGUCGUGAGACAGUUCGGUCCCUAUCUGCCGUGGGCGCUGGAGAACUGAGGGGGGCUGCUCCUAGUACGAGAGGACCGGAGUGGACGCAUCACUGGUGUUCGGGUUGUCAUGCCAAUGGCACUGCCCGGUAGCUAAAUGCGGAAGAGAUAAGUGCUGAAAGCAUCUAAGCACGAAACUUGCCCCGAGAUGAGUUCUCCCUGACCCUUUAAGGGUCCUGAAGGAACGUUGAAGACGACGACGUUGAUAGGCCGGGUGUGUAAGCGCAGCGAUGCGUUGAGCUAACCGGUACUAAUGAACCGUGAGGCUUAACCUUACAACGCCGAAG